UAUCGCGAUAUUUGAGGGUUUUCCCGAGAAGCGCCCGGCGCGGGUGAGGAGUCGAGGGGGCUGUUGGAGGCUGGUUUCUCGCGGCGGACCGGGCGGGAGGCUGCAGAAGUUUCUUUGGCGACUUCGGGUCCGCGGCUGUGUGUGCGUGACCUCAUUUUCCGUGUGUACGUAUCCUAAAUCCUAACAGAGCUUUAUGGAGCCCAGUUGUGGCGGGCUUCCAGGACUCGAAGCCACCAGACCCCACGUGAAACCAAAGGCCACGUGUUCAGCUGCUGCACCCUUGGAGGAGAGACGGUUCCAUGUCCUCGUGGGUGUCACUGGGAGUGUUGCAGCCCUGAAGUUGCCUCUUUUGGUGUCAAGGCUUUUGGACAUUCCUGGUCUGGAAGUAGCAGUGGUCACAACUGAGAGAGCCAAACAUUUCUACAGCCCCCAGGAUGUUCCUGUCACCCUCUACAGUGACGCUGAUGAAUGGGAGCUGUGGAAGUGCCGAUCCGACCCAGUUCUCCACAUUGACCUGCGGAGGUGGGCAGACCUUAUGCUGGUGGCUCCUCUUGAUGCCAAUACGCUGGGGAAGGUGGCCAGUGGCAUCUGUGACAACUUGCUUACCUGUGUCAUCCGGGCCUGGGACCGCAGCAAGCCCCUGCUCUUCUGCCCUGCGAUGAACACCGCCAUGUGGGAGCACCCCAUCACUGAGCAGCAGGUGGGCCAGCUCAAGGCCUUCGGCUACGUGGAGGUCCCCUGUGUGGCCAAGAAGCUGGUCUGUGGAGACCAAGGACUCCUGCUCUUGGAGCCCAGCUGCUAUGCUGUGAGAAGGCCCAGGCCCACGCCAGUGGACGCAGGGGUGCACUGCCCGCAGCCCGCAUCUGAGCUCCUUCCUGUGCCAUGAGCGGCCUUGGACUCGUGUGUGGGCACCCACACGAGUGUUCAAAUUCUGCACUCUCCCGUGUCCUCCUGCGCAAUAGUCACCGUUGGCCAGCCCUCGGGCUUAGAAGUCCAUGUCCUUGCUGCCCUCGAAAGGUACGCUACUAUUUUCUAGAGUAGUUAAACCCAACUAACCCAGAACAUCCGAACACCCUCUACUGCCCAGGGCUUGUGACACAGAGCCAGGGUAAGGACCAAGCACCGCCCAAGGAGGACUGGGGCCCUGCUGCGUCAUGAGGGACUCAAACUAGGUCCCAGAUGUGAGGAACUGGUAAUAAAUUCAGCUUCACUAUUUUAGAUACAUAUCCUGGGGGAGGAGGUCUUGCGCUCAGACACAUGUCCCCGUGGGAGUGGUGGUGGUACUGCCCUCCCCUACCCCGCACCUGACCUUGGUUCCUGGGUCUCCAGGCCACUUCUCUGUAACCCUGUCCUCUUCUUUCCCGGGUGACGUCUUGAGAACUGGGGAGGGAGACUGUGGCUGAGGAGAAAGUGUGUCGAGGGUGUCUUCACAGGGUCCUCUGUGGGGUCCUGGGGGGGGGGGCUCAGCCUGAGGGGGAUUCACUGACAGGAGACAGGCCUGCUCUCCCAGAGCUGCUCUGAGAGAGACACUGAUGGAUGGGGACACAUCCAUGACAUCACGUCUGAUUGGGCUGAUGGCAGAGGCAGGACACCUGAGAGCUAUCAGCGAAACAGCCCUGGAGCUCCCAAGCCACACCCAGCCAGGCCCCUCUUCCCUGAGGUGGGUGGGAAGGGUAAGUCAAGGAGGGCUUCCUAUUGGAAGUGAGGUUCAGGGGGCCAGAAUGCCUCCCCUAGUGGUGCUCACAUCACUCCCCAGCACUCUGGGUCAGGGAAACGAAGAUGACAGCACAGCUCCCCCACCUCUGUCUUCCCCCAGUCCUGUCCCCCAGGAUCCCACAGGCUGGGUCUCUGAUGGGUGAGCCCAAGGCAGAAGAUUCUUUCAGAGGAGAGCUUCUGUGAGCUUCUUGGAAGAGAGCCCUGGGGCACUCGGAGUGACUGGUGCAAUAAGCAGAAUUGGCCUCUGGAAGAUUCUGCAUCCUCUGCCUGCUUUGUCCCACCGCUCUCCUCCCCACAGACACCUGUGUCCACUCCCCAUCUUCACUGACCAGAUGAGAUAUGUUAAGGUGUCUUUUUUCACCUGCUGGAAUAGACCUAAACUGGCAACCAACUAUCUCAACAAGUCGUGCUUUAUUAACUCUGGGUCUGGCAGGGAGUUUGAAGUGAUUUUGUACCCUUCCUUGUGCAGUGGGUGCAGCACCCACCCAUGUUCCCUCCCCUCCUUCCUUUGGCCUCCCACCCCCACCCCCAUGCAAACCUCCAAAAGGCAGAUUUGCAUAACAUUUUGCCUGUGUUUGCCUGGUGGCUCCUCUCUCCUUUUGGAGCCAGCCUGGAACUCCUGGGUUCUGACGCCAAGGAGUUCUGCCCCACCACGCUGCCUGCAGGGGGACUAGGCUCCUCAAUUCUUCUCCCCGGACAUUGGACAUUACGCUGGGACUAUGGUAAGACCAGCAAAGUGCCUACACCAAAAAAAAUUAAGGAGGUAUUCACUCUUAGGUGCUGACCCUGCACUCUCGAGACCCUGAGGGCGAGGACCUCCUUAAAUUUUGCCCCCUAGGUGCCUCACUUGCCUUACCCGAUACCCUGCUGGGAGUGUUCAGGCCUUGGGGGUCUGAAAUCAAAUCUUAUCAAAUAUGCCCUAAAAGCUGUUAAUCCCGAGUCUGUCCUUGAGCUGGCCUUGCUACCCUCUUCCCUGGCCACCGACCCCUCUUGUUGGAAGGGCAGCUAGAAGAGGUAAGAAGGGGUCUGAGGUGGGCCAGACUGUGAGAUCAAUGUCAGGAUGGAGGAUCAGAGGGAACCCCAACCCCGCACCCACCCAGGAACUGAAAACCAUGUUGAAGGACCCUCAGGGUGACCUGCCUGCAGAGGGAACCAAGCAGGCCAGACAGUGAUUGGGACCAAAUGUUGAUGAGAAACUCAGAACCCUGAGCUAAACUUGACCCCACCACAGCCUAUCCUGAGGAUUACCAGACCCUUCCCAGAGAGGUCUGAAGGGCCCUGAGAAAGACCAGGCUGAAGCAGGAGGUUUAAACUCCAGGUCUCUGAUUGGAAUUAGCUGUGAAAGGGGACUGUUGUGAGACCAGGAGAGACAAGGCAGUAGAAGACCCGUCUGCAUGUGUGUGUGUUGGGGGGAGGGUUGGGGGAGAUCAGCGGGCACGUGCCCACAUCCCCAUGGCUAGGGUGCAGGACCUGCUCAGGCACUGGGCAGACUUCCCCUCUCUUGGCCCUGCCUGUUCCUCACUCUGCAGGUAGCUUCUUUCUGUCUGCUCCUUGGGCACCUCUCCUGCUUUCACAGCUCGUCCAGAGCCUGGGACCCCUCUGUCUGUGGCCUCAGGAAGUGUUUUCUUGAGUCUAGCUGAAGGAGAGUGGGCCUCUUCUAGAGACUGGGUGGAGGUGGUCCGCAGACCCUCGUGGGCAGGAUGAGGGGUGAGCCAAGUGCAGGCUGAGCAUCCUCCUGUGUCUGGGGAGGUGCUGAGCCAGGGCUGGGGGGGUGUGGGGGGGUGUGUGUGUUUGUGGAGGUGCCCCCGGGUUAUUCCAGGCAGGGUCUUCUGCAUUCCCUGCGUGUCUGGGAGGCCAAGCUCACCGGACAAAUAGCACCUGGCAGCUGGCUGGCAGGCCAUUGUUUUCAGGAGGUAUUUCCUUGCUUCCAUUGGGGAAAGGUGAAAACAGCAAGAAUUAGCUAAGGGUUCUGAGCCUCACCUCCCCCAGGGUGAAGCGACCCUAAACUCCCUGCCUGCCUCCCAUGUUUCUCCUCCCACCUCCCCAGGGCUGGAGGAGCCCAGGAGCAGCCUGAGGCAGCCCCCACCCGGCACUGAGGAGACUUCUGAUGGGCAGGCCUCUAGCUUGACUCGCACCCUCCAGUGACUUGUGCUCCCCGUAGAAUACGAGGCGCUGAAAAGCAGGGCAGUCUUUGCAGACUGGCGGAGAAGCGGUGGCCUGGGGAGGCUGGAGGGGAUUGAUCGUAAAUCAGAUCUGGUGGGGCAGACCCCACACCACCCGCCCCACAGCUUUGACAGGGAGGGGAGCAGAAUGUGCACCCCGGAAUGCACCACUUCUGCACGUGGGUCAUUUUGAACCAAAGACAGUGGGGGCCCAGGGGGCUCAGGAAGAGCUUUUUACCUCCCCCUUAACUGCCUUAAAGAAUUUAGAGAGGGGCCUGUGCCCAGGAAGAAAGCCGUUACCAGAGAGAACUUUUCAUAUCAGGAAGACUUACCUGCAUGGCAUGACAAACAUUUGUUUACCAAACAUUUGCUCUUCUCAACUUCCUCUGACUUGUCUUCCUCCCCUUUGAAGCCCCAGACCUCUACCCCCUUCUCCUUAGCUCAGGAUGGCAUAUAAGCCUCAAUUACCCCCAACUGCCCUUGGGAGUCUCAUAUUUUUAUGGGGCUCCCCUACAUACGAAAUUUGUUUUUCUCCUAUUAAUCUGUCUUACGUGAAUUUAAUUAUUAGUCCAGCCAAAGUACCUAGAAGGGAAAAAGGGAAAAAUUUUCCACCCCUACAACAAUGUCUGGGGCUAUGCCAGCCAAUGUGGUGAGUUCCAGGGACAGAGGUUCCAGCUCAAAAAGAAGGGCCUUCUCUCAGCAGAGCCGAGAGGCCACGAGGCUUUCGGGGAGCUAAUGAGUUUUCUGUCGCUGGACGAGUGCAAGUAGUGGCCUGUCAGCAGGGCUGUGAGUGCUUCUGGAAGGACCCCUCAGAUGGGGUCCAGUCGACGGGACAGGACUCCUCCAGGAGCAUGACCAGGAGGGGUAUCUCUUCCCCAAAUCCAGCUGGCCUGAGAGAGGGCUGGGGGCUGGAGGGAUGGGCAUUGCCCGGAUAUCCCACUCUCAGGACAGGCUUCUGCUCUGGGCAUCAUAGUUGGCCCUUGGCUUCCUCCCCUAUUUCUAUCCCAGCUCCUGUCACCUGAUUCAACUCAUUCUGACAGCCAGGUGAAGGCAGGACCUGUGCCAGCUGAGGAAACCCUACUGCCCAGCAUCAGACCAGAGCCCUGCAGGCCCCUCAGACUCUCCAGGGCUGGGCCUUACCUCCCUCUAGGGGCUCUUGGACCCAGAGCUCCUAAAACCCUUGGAAUUUCCUGUGUGAUGGGAGUGUCUUUUAUUAUUCAUAAGAAGCUUCAUUGAUUAGAGAGAGAGAGAAAGAGAGAAAAGAGAACCUACACCAGCAGGGAGUCAUGGCCGACAUCCACCUAGAGCUUAAGGGCGUCCUGAGAUUUCACUCUGCACUGGGCCUGGCAGAUUGCGUAGCCAAUCCUGUAUGCAGUGCUGUGCUGGAGCCAGCUCUCCCUGGCUCCCAACUCCACGUUGGGUGAUGUCAUGUGAGAAGCUUGAAAGGGCCGUGGUGAUAACAUUAACAACACAGAAAGCAGGCAAGUGCUGCAAAAUAGGACAUUGUUUUCGACCUGGUUGUUAAACAUUGACCAGCACACCAUUGCACAGAGCACUCAAUAAUGCUGAAAACUUCUUACUCUUGUUAUUUUAUUGACUAAAGCAGGCCAGCCUAAACUUCUAGGGGGACAGUGCAGAGCCCUGGAUGGAAGACACGGGAAGAAAACAGCACUGACCCAGACCAUUUCACCACGGUUUCAGGGAUGAAGAAACAAGCUCAGAGAGGUAAUGGACUCACUUAAGACCACACAGGAGGACAACUACUGAGCUCACAUUGGGGCCCAAGGUUCUGGCUCUUAGGAGAGGCUCUUUAGAGCCACAUGUCCCCUGUCCCAUGCAGUGCCUAGCACAGAGUUCUGAACUGCAGGAAUAAACUGGGAUGAGGGGGCUCAGGAGGGGUAGGCAAAAGGGAAGCUGGGGGAAGGACUCAGAAAUCCCAACCCGACACUUUUCUCAUCUUCCAGGAUCCUCACAGCCUGAGGCAGAGGCCCGGGCAAAUGGGCAGCAGGACAGAAUGUUCCAGCAACCACUGACUAGAUCAGAGACACAAAUAUUUGCUAAGCCCAGGGGCCUCCCAGACAUGCUGGCAGGGUUCAGGGGAACAAGUGUAUGGAGACUCUCCCUCUGGAGCCAGGGAAUCCAGGAGAGGGAGAAACCCCUCAAAGAGUCCCCCCCAAAUCCUCAACCCCAUUUGCUUCAUCACAUUUGUAUAAGAGCCCCUCACACCCUCAAGUAUGUAAAGCCCAGUCACAAAGCACCUUCUCAGCCAUGAGCAGAACAGGGAGCUGACCCCCAUUUUACAGAUGAGGAAACUGAGGCCCACAGAGGGAAGAGGGCACGCCCAAGGGCUGGGGAAUGGGAGAACCUGAAGUGGAGGCAGGAUGGGAAAGCUCGCCCCCAACUCCGACAGUCUCAGAUCCUGCAUCUGGUCUGCUGCUCCCCUACUCGAGAACUGCCCUGGACCGUCACUGGCCUGGAUGAGUUAGUUGCUAGUCCCUACUGACCCCUAGACCCUCUUCUCUGGCCAGACCUCCCAAACUCACUUUUUACAGCUCCCACAGGCUGCUUUCUCCCCAAGGGAACCUUCUCUCUCUUCUUACCUCCCAGGUCAGGAAGCCCUUCCCCCCUCACACUCUCCUCAAAUCUGCACCCUCCUGCCUUAUGAAUCUCCAACCUGGCCUCAGUGCAGGAAGCCCUCCUGGACUGCUCCUGCUCACACAAGAGGGCUCUUGUCCUCUCAGGAGUAGGAGCCAGAGGUGUCUGGGUCCCUUUCAGGAGUGGGAGUUAAGCAGGGGUCUGUGUCCUAGUUGCAGCUUUGUCACCAACUUACUGGGUGACCUGAGGGCUACCCUGCUCUGUCUGAGCCUCAGCUCCCUCAUCCGGAUUCAGUUUGCCUGCCUCACCAGGGAACUGAGUCUGGGCGGGAAAACUUUGGCAGUGGGCACAGGUCACAGCUGCUGGGGUUCUUGUUGGCAUCAGCAUUGCUCCAAUCUUGGGCUCCAUCCAAACCCAUUGUCAGCCAGCCACACACUGUCUCUACUUCUGCCUCUUCCCUAGGGGCAGGAGGCCUGAGGUUGGCCUGAGAGCUCAGCUGGGGUGGGUGCUGGGAGCACAGGCACUCCUGUCCUCCUCCACUAGCCCCAGAGAGCCAGGCCUGGGUAUGGAGCUGGGAGGGGAUGCACUACAAGAGGUUGGAGGCCACCUUGAGUCCCAGCUCCUAGGCAAUUCUGCCCUUCAGCCCUCCAGGGUGUUAACUUUUCCCAAUCAAGAGCAAACUCUAUCUCCAUGGCAGCAAAAUUAGGAAGGGCCCCUGGGAAAUGUUGGAGCCCUCCCCUCCCCCAGGCAGACUUUCGGAAGGCCCAAAGAAGUGUUCCCCACAAUGCCUAGAAUCAGAGACUGUCAUGGCAAUGCAUCAUUUAGAAGCCUGCUCCCCAUCGUACAGAUAAGGAAACUGACACAGAGAUGCAGGGACUUGCCACCACUGCAGUGAAGACGCUAGGAUGUUCAGAUAGCAGGGCCCUGCUCUUGAAACUGCGUGCGCAUAGCGGGCUCCGGCUUUAUACUUCGUUUCAAGGUUAUUUUGAGUUGCUUUGGGGGCUCAGGCCCUAUCAGAGUUACCGCUUGGCACAGCCACUACUCCGGGUCUUAGAAGGUCUAAGGGUGAAACAAGACCAACACCUGGAGCUUUGCCCAGGGGCUCUGGACCCUUGGAAACCGAGGGAGGACGGAGUAGCGCUCCUGCAGUGAGGGGCGUGGGCUCCGCGGGGCGGGGCGCCCAGGGGGCGGGGCCCAGGCGGCCGUGACUCCACCCCGGGUAAACUCGCCUCUCGGGUAAACAAGCGCCGGCGGCGCUUGGGGCUUCUUCUGCAAGUCCGGCGCCAAGUUACAUCACGGUUCCCGGGAGCUUCCCGCCCCAGCGGCCGGGUCCCCGAGGCCAUCGCUCGCCCGCCCGCCGCCUGUGUCCGAGGAGCAGAGGGCCGGCCAGGCGCUUCCUUCCCCUAGCCCGCCAGGGCAGGAAGGCUUCCAAGUUUUCCCCGGAGGCCCCUGGGACUUCGUUGAAACCGGGUUCAGCUAGAAGAUAGGGGCACCGCCGUGGCCGCACAGGAACUGCACCUCAGUUUCCCCACCUGUGAAACCAGGAGGCUGCGUUAGAGUCUUGUGCCUCCCAGCUCGGGGAGGAGAGAUGCGCCCUGAGCCCAGGGCGAGGGGCCGCCCCCAGAUGGCUGUGACUCGGAGCCGGGCUUUCUACUUUAGCAGUGUAGUGGGUGGUCGCAAAGCUGAGUGUUUCAGAACUCAGACCCUCCCCUCCGAGGAGCCUGGGUGAAAACUCAGGGGCGCAGAGCAAGGAUGACUUUGUAGGAUCCUAGCACCUUCCUCUCCCGACUUGCUGCAGGACACCGACCCUCUGAGUAAAAGAAGACCUGCCCACUACUCUCACAGCGGGUGUGUAUCAGCGCUUUGGAAAAGGCAUCGGGUUGCAUAACGAAGACGGAGAUUGCCGCUCAAUAUCAACUGCUUGCACCUCGGAGCCUGAUCGAGCAACAGGCUGUGUGCAGAGGCAGAGCUCCUGGGAGAGGCUCAGCGGAGUGUGGGCCGGAGCUGGAUAGGGAGGCAGCAGAAGGGAUGCUUGCCGGAUCUCCAGGAGCUGCCCAGUCCUGGCACUCCACUAUUUGGCGAUUCUGCAUCCGCGCUGUCCAAUAAGGUACCCAUGAGCCACGUGUGGCUGUUGAGUACUUGAAAUGUAGUGUGGGGACCCACUGGAACCCCAGAGUCGGCAUGAAGAUUAUUUUAAGCUGAAGAUAUUUGAGAUUCAACAGAUGCAGAAAAAAGCCUUCUGGGAGCUUCCCUUAUCUGAGGAAAAGCAGCAACUUCUGGGAAAUGAGGCUACCAUAAAUCCCCUCUACAGGGGAGUUUCAUGGCCUUGAAGAAGAUAAGAGAUCAUUCAUAGCAGUAUAGACAAAUAUUAUCACAAACUUUCUUAUUUUCUGUCGAUUCUCCUAAAAUCCCAUUUAUUAAUUCCUAAAGAAAUGUUUUUUUUUUCCAUAGAAGCCACUAUUCCCCCUCCCUUUUCCCUACUAGGUUAGGUUUAUAAACCUUUAACUUGAAUCAUUUAACGAGCCAGGUACUUCCUUUGUUGGCUACCAUAUGCAUAGGAAAUACACUUUUUUUCUCCUGUUAAUCUGUCCUUUGUCAGUUUAAUUCUCUGGCCUCUGCAACUGAACCUAGGAGGGUAGAGGAAAAGAUUUUUCCUCCCGUGCAGUGGCUACUUGGCAUUGAUAUGUGUGAGAAGUGUAAAAUACACACAGGAUUUCAAAGACUUAACUUGAACUUGUGAACAAAAAACACUGCAAACCAUAUCAGUAAACAAAGAAUGCUGAAACCAUCAAGUCAUCAGUGGCUGCUGCCACCCCCCAGUGAAGACAAGCCUGCAGCCCGGCCUCUGCAGCCACUCACCAUGGUGCACUCUGAGGGAACUCAGAACAAGAAAGGACAAGAUACUGGCCCUAGAUAGCUAGAUGCUUGUCAAAGGAAUGAAUUCAAUGAGCCCAAAUGUUUGCUUCCUCCCAUACAUAGAAAAGCACUAAAUUCUUUAACUUGAGAUGCCUGGUUUUCUUUAGAUAACAAGUAAUCUUUUAUUGUUCCAACUACCUGGUCUUUGUUGUAAAGCUCCUGUAUAUCCUAGCUCCUCCCCUACCUCUUCAGAGCAGUCCCUCCGAGCGAUCUGAGAGGCUGUCAUCCCGGCUCAAGUCCUCCCGCCAAAUAAAACAUAACUCUCAA